rnacentral:rRNA from 1 species
CGCUGGCGGCAGGCCUAACACAUGCAAGUCGAACGGUAACAGGAAGCAGCUUGCUGCUUCGCUGACGAGUGGCGGACGGGUGAGUAAUGUCUGGGAAACUGCCUGAUGGAGGGGGAUAACUACUGGAAACGGUGGCUAAUACCGCAUAACGUCGCAAGACCAAAGAGGGGGACCUUCGGGCCUCUUGCCAUCAGAUGUGCCCAGAUGGGAUUAGCUUGUUGGUGAGGUAACGGCUCACCAAGGCGACGAUCCCUAGCUGGUCUGAGAGGAUGACCAGCCACACUGGAACUGAGACACGGUCCAGACUCCUACGGGAGGCAGCAGUGGGGAAUAUUGCACAAUGGGCGCAAGCCUGAUGCAGCCAUGCCGCGUGUAUGAAGAAGGCCUUCGGGUUGUAAAGUACUUUCAGCGGGGAGGAAGGUGUUGUGGUUAAUAACCGCAGCAAUUGACGUUACCCGCAGAAGAAGCACCGGCUAACUCCGUGCCAGCAGCCGCGGUAAUACGGAGGGUGCAAGCGUUAAUCGGAAUUACUGGGCGUAAAGCGCACGCAGGCGGUCUGUCAAGUCGGAUGUGAAAUCCCCGGGCUCAACCUGGGAACUGCAUUCGAAACUGGCAGGCUUGAGUCUUGUAGAGGGGGGUAGAAUUCCAGGUGUAGCGGUGAAAUGCGUAGAGAUCUGGAGGAAUACCGGUGGCGAAGGCGGCCCCCUGGACAAAGACUGACGCUCAGGUGCGAAAGCGUGGGGAGCAAACAGGAUUAGAUACCCUGGUAGUCCACGCCGUAAACGAUGUCUACUUGGAGGUUGUGCCCUUGAGGCGUGGCUUCCGGAGCUAACGCGUUAAGUAGACCGCCUGGGGAGUACGGCCGCAAGGUUAAAACUCAAAUGAAUUGACGGGGGCCCGCACAAGCGGUGGAGCAUGUGGUUUAAUUCGAUGCAACGCGAAGAACCUUACCUGGUCUUGACAUCCACAGAAGAAUCCAGAGAUGGAUUUGUGCCUUCGGGAACUGUGAGACAGGUGCUGCAUGGCUGUCGUCAGCUCGUGUUGUGAAAUGUUGGGUUAAGUCCCGCAACGAGCGCAACCCUUAUCCUUUGUUGCCAGCGGUUAGGCCGGGAACUCAAAGGAGACUGCCAGUGAUAAACUGGAGGAAGGUGGGGAUGACGUCAAGUCAUCAUGGCCCUUACGACCAGGGCUACACACGUGCUACAAUGGCGCAUACAAAGAGAAGCGACCUCGCGAGAGCAAGCGGACCUCAUAAAGUGCGUCGUAGUCCGGAUUGGAGUCUGCAACUCGACUCCAUGAAGUCGGAAUCGCUAGUAAUCGUGGAUCAGAAUGCCACGGUGAAUACGUUCCCGGGCCUUGUACACACCGCCCGUCACACCAUGGGAGUGGGUUGCAAAAGAAGUAGGUAGCUUAACCUUCGGGAGGGCGCUUACCACUUUGUGAUUCAUGACUGGGGUGAAGUCGUAACAAGGUAACCGUAGGGGAACCUGCGGUUGGAUCACCUCCUUACCUUAAAGAA